CGACUAGACUAAGAAGCAGUUAAAAAAUAAUUAAAAGAUAAGAAAUAAUUAAUGUGACCAAUCAAUUUUUAUGGCAUAUCUGCACUUCAUUAGCAUUGCCAAGAGGUGGUAACAUGUUACGAGUCAAAAAUGUAUUAUCUUUUAUCAACGUGAUAGUUCUGGUAAUAGCAUUAUCCGCCGUUACCGUCGGAUUUGCAAGAAACCAUCACGGGCGUCGAAAUAAUAAAGUUGAUACUAAUGUCACAGUAGAUUACUUAAAACAACGGCAAUUCUACUUCCGCCCAUGGACUGAGUCUUUGCAGGGCACAAAUAAGGUUGAAGCGCUACCUCUUCCUUCUGACCACUGGGCAAAGAAGAUUAAACACCUCCUCAAGCUACAAGCCAUGAGACAUCCCGGGAAAUAAUCUUCAUGUUCGCUACUAGCAGCUUUCAACAAAAAAAAAACCGGAGUUUCACACACAUAAAAACACUAAACCAAAUUGAUUACGAUACAUAGCGACCCUGCCAGAAUUUUCCCUGUUAUCGUGCUGCAAUCUUCAGACACAAAGUCGAAAGACACUAUGUCUAUUUGAGACCAGUCAACUAUCAAAGGUCUAUCUAAUAUAAAUUUGGAGUUUUCUUUCUUGUGUCUUUGUUGUGUCAAAACCAAAGACACAGGAAAGAAAAUGGCGCUCUUUAUGCUUAGCCCAGUGGUCAGCAGGCAGAGGAAGCGCCAUUCUUUCGCCCAGUGGCGAAGAACAUUAACACACCUGAACACCUACCUGCUCAUUCUCAAGCUACAAGCCAUGAAGCAUCCGAGGAAAUAAAGCUUCAAAGUGGGUUAGUUAACCGUUAACCCAUGGUUGUACCCACUGGUAACUCCGGAUUUUACCGGUUAACCCCAAGUUAAUGGCUAACCCUGGAUGGCGCAAGUGGCCCUAACCUAAACAAAUAAACUUUUAAAAACAC